rnacentral:rRNA from 1 species
AUUGAACGCUGGCGGCAUGCUUUACACAUGCAAGUCGAACGGUAACAGGUCUUCGGAUGCUGACGAGUGGCGAACGGGUGAGUAAUGUAUCGGAACGUGCCCAGUAGUGGGGGAUAACUACUCGAAAGAGUGGCUAAUACCGCAUGAGAACUGAGGUUGAGAGUGGGGGACCGCAAGGCCUCACGCUACUGGAGCGGCCGAUAUCAGAUUAGGUAGUUGGUGGGGUAAAGGCCUACCAAGCCUGCGAUCUGUAGCUGGUCUGAGAGGACGACCAGCCACACUGGGACUGAGACACGGCCCAGACUCCUACGGGAGACAGCGGUGGGGAAUGUUGGACAAUGGGCGCAAGCCUGAUCCAGCAAUGCCGCGUGCAGGACGAAGGCCUUCGGGUUGUAAACUGCUUUUGUACAGAACGGAAAAGCCUCUUCUAAUACAGGGGGUGCAUGACGGUACUGUAAGAAUAAGCACCGGCUAACUACGUGCCAGCAGCCGCGGUAA